AGACGAGUAGCACAUCCCUGUCCACAUAUUGCUUCUAGUGUUAGCAGCUCUGGCUUUGCUUCUAGUUCCUUUGUCGCGGUUGAGGUUCAAGUGGAGGAUAUUACUCAGGGACGAGGUUUAGCCAAACAGAGCUAUUCAGGUGCAAGAGGUUCAAGGGUGGACAAGAGCGAGGUUCUCGCCUAGAUAGUUAUAUUAUUGUUAUAUUUCGGAUGUUUAGGUUUAUGCUUAAACUCAUUUUGUAAUGUAACCCGGUAUGGGACGGGUUAGUGUUGAGCUAUUAAUUUUAAUUGAAUUUGUAAGACUUCCGCUGUAAUAGGGCUUUAUUAGCCACUAUAUUUU